rnacentral:SRP_RNA from 1 species
GCCGGGUGUGGUGGAGCAUGCCUGUAAUCCCAGCUACUCGGGAGGCUGAGGCAGAAGAAUUGCUUGAACUCAGGAGGUGGAGGUUGCAGUGAGCCGAGAUGGUGCCAUUGCACUCCAGCCUGGGUAACAGAGUGAGACUCUGUCUCAG